CCAUGGGAGUAGGUUGCAAAAGAAGUGGCUAGUUUAACCUUCGGGAGGACGGUCACCACUUUGUGAUUUAUGACUGGGGUGAAGUCGUAACAAGGUAACCCUAGGGGAACCUGGGGUUGGAUCACCUCCUUAUCUUGAAG
rnacentral:rRNA from 1 species